CGGCGCUUGGCUGCCAUCUCACUGUUCUGUUAAGUUUAUUAUACCUCUAAGGUCAAGGUGGGACAAUUUGGACAACUUAUGCACAGAGUAGUGGAUGGGCAAGCCAAGCACAGGCUCACAGAAACCCCGUGCCCCCCCACUAUGAAGGACUAUAUCUGUACGUCAUGUCCAGGACGGCGCACCUGUGGUGAGAACACACCUGCCUGAGGGAUGGAGGAAAGGCAUCGCCUUGAAUCAGAGGUGACCAUCAGCAACAGCCUACCUACUGCAUGAGUUACAAUGGAGCAGUGUAGCCACAGAGACAGGACAGACGGUGAGCCUCAUCUCUCCACUGGUAUGAAGUCACACACAGUUUCUACAACACAGUGGGGAAAAAAAAACAGUGCUGCAAAGUUUCACCACUGACACAGAGAUAUGUUUCGUCCUUUGAUCUCAUGUGCUUAUAUGAUGUUGUGAAUUUCAAUACAGUUAGCCACAGAAGUGUAUUAAGUGUUUUUUUGCCCCCAAGAUUUCAGCAUUCUGUGUGUAUUGAUCAGUGUGUGAGGGAACAACGGGCACAGUAAAAAAAACAGGGUUGUGGCAGUUUCAGCCUCCAUUCAGUUCAACCCCUAAUUUUUUUUUAUAGUUCUGGCUAAAACAACUGAUAAAAAUAUCAACAUCAAAACACUAACAACUACAACAUUUACAACAGAAACUUUGACAAAAGGGACCAAAUCUAUUGAUUGCCAUCAGCGAAGGUCCCACAACUCCUCGAGCCAGUGUAGCCCUCCUCCCAUCAUGUCUUGUUUUUGUCCAAUCCCUCAGCUGCAUUCCCUUUUUAACAUGCUUUUUAUAGUGCCAGGACUUCACACAGAAGUACAGCAAGCCAAGACGGACAAUAUACACAUUUUAAGAACACAAUCAAAACAAGAGACAGGCAUAAGGGUGACAUCAUCAUCAUUAUCACAUGGUGUGGCGUUACUAAGACAGCGAUUUUUGGGAGGGGAGGGGGGGUUUAACAGAUGUGUAGAGCAUAAGAGGCAGGAAUGAUGAUUGAUUGAAGUAGAGGGGUAAGAGGUAGGGUGGAAGGGAAUGAUUCUGGUGAGCGUAACCUGAAGUUGCAGAAAGGUUCACUCCCUCAGAAGAGCGAACACAACAGCAUAAAGUCUUAAGUGUCUGUGCAGAAACAGUACAGGCCAUUAGAUAAUUCAAAGAAAUCAUGCUUCACAUCAAAAAUACACUAAAACAGAUUAAGUAAAACUAAAAAGCUAACAUGAGAGUGUCCGUGCUUUUACAUUAGGUAGUUCAGAGAUGUGACAAGCUUUAGACUUUGACCGGUGGCGCCUCCCAGUGUUUGACUCCAAACACUGCAGGGCAGACAGAUGGAGCCCCUCUGCAACUUCAGGAUGAGCUGGCCUGGAUGUUGUGUCUAAAGCUCAAGACAAAGCUCAAGCCUAAAGGCUGAAGCACAGGGAACUUGAGUGAGUGUGUGUGUGCGUGUGUGCACACGUGCAUGCAUGCAUGGUGUGUGUUUGUAUUUACACCUAGGGACAUCAAAACAGAAAAAUACACCCACACUCUCAUGCUUAACUCCCUUCCCUACACCCUGAAAGUAAAUCAUGUUUCCCCUUUUCUCCUAUAUAAAUAUCUAUUUAUACACAACUCUAUUAAAUAAAAUCCCCCUUUUGAUUAAAAACGACCUUUUUUCAACACAAAAUACUUUAAAAUACACCAUUCAUGAGAUAAAAAUCAAACAGCUUAAUAAUACAUAAUACAAAAAGACAAAAUAAAAAUAAAGGUCCCUUCAGUAACAUAUCACAUUGUCUAAGCCUCUUUAAAACAUUGUGUACAGAUGCUCAAACCUGACACUUAAAAUGUGUGUUAAAUUCUGAUAUUGAGUAGAUAUUAGCUGCUCCCAUUCCCAUAAAACCCCCUACACAUACCUAUUAGCUGUAAAACAAACAACACUUGUAUUAAAGUAGACAUUCUGCUGCUCUCUCAAGACAGAAAGAAAUCAGUUUCCCUCAUAUUAUACUUGCCCCCCAAUUCCUAUUCACUAUGUGUGUGAAGUGUAUUUGAUUUUCUGUUGUUAUAUAUAUAUGUAUAUAUAUAUCUAUAUAUAUUAUUUUUUUAAAAACAUGUUAAUACUUUUCCAGACAGCAGACAGAACAAAGACGGGAAAUAAAGGCCAUGGGAGAAGAGGACCAGGACAGCACCACCCCUGUGUUGCCACCAGAAGCAUGCACCAUCUGCGAGAAGGGGCUGACGUCAGGGCCCCAACAUCAUCUAGCUAGGGUUGGACUGGAUUGGUGUUGGUCAGUCAUUCAGUCAGGCUUUUGAUAUAUGCUUUUUUUGUUUUGGUUUUUUUUUUUUGGUUAUUUUUUUUUUGUAAUGUAUUUCCCCCUCUUUUGUGUUUUUACAACUUUCCAAGCAGCCUCUUCCCAGCCAGGAUCCAGGUACCAAUCCGACCGCGGAGGAUAAAUGCUCCAAACAACUUCAGGCAAAGCUGGAGAGGCAAGAAUGCAAUGGAGACGUGUCACCUCACCCAGACCAGGGUAACCAACAUCCCAUUCUGCAGCCAGGCCCCAGGGGGUGGGGGCUCACCAGUGCCCCUCUGGUGGCAGGGUCUUGACCCAUGGGGCCUGGUUGGACUCAGCCCCAAAAAAUUUUGAGUUGCCACCCUGUGUGUCCACCACCAACAGGGAUAGGAAUUGGAUUCCGGUGGUAUGUAAGCCAAGUCCUACGGACCUGAAAUGUCACCUUACUGGCAGAGGAGAAGCAAGAGUUGGUGCAGUAGGCGGAGCGUUACCAACUAGAUAUAGUAGGGCUCACCUCCACACACUGCACUGGCUCUGAAUACUGUCUUCUCAGAGUCUUUGGGCAGGGUCCUAGAAAGGGCAGCACCUGGACUCUGUAGUCCUCUUGGACUCUCUUGUCAAAGAAGACUACAAAGCCCCCCACCCAAUGUACAAUUCAGAAGUUAUUUUGCUUCUAACUCAUAUUGAAUAAUUUCCUCUUUAUGUCUCUCACAGCUGUAUCAUUAAUAUUUUCUAAUUGAUCCCCUAAUACCACUAUACUAACACUGCUAAAUUUGUCUGCUUAUUUCCAACAGCAGGAUUGGAAGUUACACACUGAAGCUGUUCUUUGUUCUCUUUGGUAACAAUUUGUGAAUUAAACUUACCAACAGUAGAGCAGAACAGGCAGCCUUAUAGGGCAAAUUAAACAGCACUGAUUAUGCUGAUGAUGAAAUCUCAAAAAUGUGGACCUCCUCAUGAACAGGUGACAUUCAUCAGGCUAUAAUGAAUAAUUUAGGAGAAUUACUGUAUAAGAAAAAUGCUCUUGCAUGAAGCUGUAUAGUUGUCUUACUCUAGAUAACCCACAGACCUUAGUGUGAACAUUUUUCAUCGGAAUAACAUCAAAGUAGUUCCGAAUAAAACUUCAGAACAAGGUCUGUGGAUUAUCCAGAAGCCUCAAGCAGGAACAUUUUUGUAUCCUUGUAUCUUAAACUGAACCUUUGGUCCAAAUCAUCAUCCUCAAACUCUGUAAACGACACGAACUGAAAACUGUUGAUUCAGCCUGUUUCCUCUGCUCAGGAGAAGAUGGGUUUUUGAUUAUCAGCAUAUAGGAAUCAGUGCCCCCAAACUGCUAUGUAAGGCUGUUCUGCUCUGUCUGUGGGCAAGUUUCAUUCACAUACAUGUGAUAGAAAGGUAGAAAAGAAUAAUGUCACACUGCAGAGCCUCAUGCCCUGCUGUUGGAAAUCAGCAGACAAAAACAUUACAAAUGGGGCAGUGUUAGUAGUUGUAUCAGGUGUAUUUUAGGGUCCCCUAAUGUACUGUGACAGAAAUUAAGAAAGAGAUGAGAAGAUCUGUUUCAUCUUCAUGUGCAUUUGUAUGAAGUUUGAGUCAGGAUGUCCAUAGCCUAGCUAUUAGUUUAAUGUAAAACUGUAAGCAGGGGGAAACAGCUUGCCUGACUGUGUCUGAAGUGAAAUGGAGAUGUAAAAACAAUUUGGUUUCAGGGGGUUACAUGCUAUUUCCUCAAGAACAACAGCUGGGUGCAGUGACUGUGUGUGACUUAAACACAAAAUACAGCUUAGCAUUAAGAUCUCCAGUAUUUAUACUAAGGCCAACCACAUCCCAACUCAAGCUCCAUAUUUAAUGCACAGACAUGAGUGGCAUCAAGCUUCUCAACUAAUUAUCUGCAUGUGUUGCAAAUACUGAACUAUUCCUUUACGAUAACAUUAAAUUAAUCUGUAUGUGUCUUCCUUCAAACUGGAUUUCAAAUGAUGUUCAGAAAAUGAAUGUCAAGUGAAACUAAUAAAAUCAUAAUCUACAGUA